AGUGAACGCUGGCGGUAGGCCUAACACAUGCAAGUCGAACGGCAGCACAGAGGAGCUUGCUCCUUGGGUGGCGAGUGGCGGACGGGUGAGGAAUACAUCGGAAUCUACUCUGUCGUGGGGGAUAACGUAGGGAAACUUACGCUAAUACCGCAUACGACCUACGGGUGAAAGCAGGGGACCUUCGGGCCUUGCGCGAUUGAAUGAGCCGAUGUCGGAUUAGCUAGUUGGCGGGGUAAAGGCCCACCAAGGCGACGAUCCGUAGCUGGUCUGAGAGGAUGAUCAGCCACACUGGAACUGAGACACGGUCCAGACUCCUACGGGAGGCAGCAGUGGGGAAUAUUGGACAAUGGGCGCAAGCCCGAUCCAGCCAUACCGCGUGGGUGAAGAAGGCCUUCGGGUUGUAAAGCCCUUUUGUUGGGAAAGAAAUCCAGCUGGCUAAUACCCGGUUGGGAUGGCGGUACCCAAAGAAUAAGCACCGGCUAACUUCGUGCCAGCCGCCGCGGUAA
rnacentral:rRNA from 1 species